GGAUGGGUGCGAGAGCGGCCGAAUCGGCACGCUUGGAAAGCGUGUGUGGCCUUGCGGUCACCGUGGGUUCGAAUCCCACCCCAUCCGCCA
rnacentral:tRNA from 3 species